rnacentral:misc_RNA from 1 species
CUUGGUAAGUAUUUCUGCUCCGCUUUCUGUGAUUAGUAAGGUAUGCUCAAAUUGAGCCGAUAAACUUCCGUCUACUGUUACUGCCGUCCAGUUAUCUGCCCAUAUCACUGACUUGGUGCUGCCCAUAGUCAGCAUUGGCUCAAUUGUAAAUGUUUGACCCAACACCAUACGUCCAGGCUCGUUGUUUCUACAGUGAAGAAUAGCAGGAUCACAAUGAAAGACUCGCCCCACACCAUGACCAAUAAAUUCUUGAACUACGCCCAGCCGAGAUUUAUCUGCAUGAUCA